UACGUAGGGUGCGAGCGUUAAUCGGAAUUACUGGGCGUAAAGCGUGCGCAGGCGGUUUGUUAAGCCAGAUGGGAAAGCCCCGGGCUCAACCUGGGAACUGCGUUUGGUACUGGCAAGCUAGAGUACGGCAGAGGGGGGUGGAAUUCCACGUGUAGCAGUGAAAUGCGUAGAGAUGUGGAGGAACACCGAUGGCGAAGGCAGCCCCCUGGGCCGAUACUGACGCUCAGGCACGAAAGCGUGGGGAGCAAACAGG
rnacentral:rRNA from 1 species